UACGGAGGGUGCAAGCGUUAAUCGGAAUUACUGGGCGUAAAGCGCACGUAGGUGGGUAUUUAAGUUGGAUGUGAAAGCCCUGGGCUUAACCUGGGAACUGCAUCCAAAACUGGGUACCUAGAGUACAGUAGAGGGAGGUGGAAUUUCCGGUGUAGCGGUGAAAUGCGUAGAGAUUGGAAAGAACACCGAUGGCGAAGGCACUUUACUGGGCUAUUACUGACACUCAGAGACGAAAGCUAGGGUAGCAAAUGGG
rnacentral:rRNA from 1 species